rnacentral:misc_RNA from 1 species
GAAAAAAUAGUUAUAGUAAUGACAGGUGUAUAUUAGGACCAGAAUAAACUGUGAAAAGAGAGCUAGCCAGACAUCAUGCACUACCACAGCCAAUAAGAAUACAAGAUGUAAUGCUCUGAAUAAUUCUCAUUAAAGCUGUUCUAGCAGAGGGCUCCCUUCUUUGGCAAGAACAAACAAGCCACCGUCACCUCUUGAAAUUCUAAAAUCCCCAUCGAGGUAAGUAGUCAGAAGCCACGAAGGAGGGCCUCUGUUUCCAGGUAUUGCGAUCUUCAGGGGUGGCUGGCCGGAGAUGGUCUUUGAGAUGUUUGCGACAAUAUCCUGCACGGGGCCCAGUGAUUGUUGAACGGGUGACAGGUCAAUCUUUUGUCCGAAGAGAUCAAUAUUUGGAGGAAGAUUCACAGUUGGUGAUAUCUUUGGUGGUUGAAAAGCUCCUUCCUUGAAUUGGACCUGUAUCCUUGAUGGACUUCGGAUUUCGAAUGAAGCAGUUGCACUAAAGGAUAAAGUAGCAAAUGGACUGGAGAGUGUUGUAGCAUUCACGAUUGUCAAAGUUUUACAAUCAAUUUCUUGAGAUAUCUGUUUAAUUUUCAAUAAUGGUGUUGACCCGGCUGCUAAAAGUGGCAACAGCUCUGAAAAUGCUGUAUACAAAAGAAUCCAAUUCCCAUCCAGCAGCUCCGGACUCUCCGUUGGUGCAGGUGUCGGAUUCUCCCCCUCCAACUGACUAACCAACUCCAGAAUCUCCCCUCUCACCUCCACUGAGGUCCUCAACCCCAGAUCCGUCCCAUACAGUGUAUCCACAAGGCACCGCUUCAGUUCCCCCACCUUCUCAUUCACCGCCGGUGCCGGCUCCGUCGGCGAGCUCCCGUUCGUUUCUAAAUACUCUGAUCCCCCCGCAUCCUUCCCCCACUCAUCAUCAUCCUUGACCGGAUCAGCCUGGAUUGUGGAUGUCGCCCCCGGCUCCUGCGGGGACCUGUCCCCCCACUCAUCGGUGAUUUCGGCUAUGGGACUGGGCUCCUUCCCCCAUUCGUCGUCGUUCGUAGCGGGAUCGGGCGUCGAGGAGGACGGGGGUUCGGGCGCGGGGGUUUCGCCCCACUCGUCGGGGACGGCGGCGGAGGUGGAGAGAUGGGGGCGGAGGCGGCGGGAGGAGGGCGGGAAGUGGAGUGAGGGGGGAGGGAGGCGGUGCGAGGGGCGGCGGAGGGGGUUAGGGUUAGGGUUUCGGAGGAGGGAGUGUGGGAGGGAGGCGAGGAAGGACGCCAUUGAGAAGUGGGAAACGAGCGGCGAGAGGUGGAGGGAAUGCAAUCCGUGCUCUGAGGUUUCGAGCUGAAUGAGAAUGGCCCACUUCUGUGAAUUGGAUUCUUGAUUCGGCAAAUUUC